rnacentral:rRNA from 1 species
GAGUUUGAUCCUGGCUCAGAUUGAACGCUGGCGGCAGGCCUAACACAUGCAAGUCGGGCGGUAGAGAGAAGCUUGCUUCUCUUGAGAGCGGCGGACGGGUGAGUAAUGCCUAGGAAUCUGCCUGGUAGUGGGGGAUAACGCUCGGAAACGGACGCUAAUACCGCAUACGUCCUACGGGAGAAAGCAGGGGACCUUCGGGCCUUGCGCUAUCAGAUGAGCCUAGGUCGGAUUAGCUAGUUGGUGAGGUAAUGGCUCACCAAGGCGACGAUCCGUAACUGGUCUGAGAGGAUGAUCAGUCACACUGGAACUGAGACACGGUCCAGACUCCUACGGGAGGCAGGCAGUGGGGAAUAUUGGACAAUGGGCGAAAGCCUGAUCCAGCCAUGCCGCGUGUGUGAAGAAGUC